rnacentral:rRNA from 1 species
GAUGAACGCUGGCGGCGUGCCUAAUACAUGCAAGUCGAGCGAACAGACGAGGAGCUUGAUCCUCUGACGUUAACGGCGGACGGGUGAGUAACACGUGGAUAACCGACCUAUAAGACUGGGAUAACUUCGGGAAACCGGAGCUAAUAGCGGAUAACAUGUUGAACCGCAGGGUUCAACAGUGAAUGACGGUCUUGCUGUCACUUAGAGAUGGAUCCGCGCCGCAUUAGCUAGUUGGUAAGGUAACGGCUUACCAAGGCAACGAUGCGUAGCCGACCUGAGAGGGUGAUCGGCCACACUGGAACUGAGACACGGUCCAGACUCCUACGGGAGGCAGCAGUAGGGAAUCUUCCGCAAUGCGCGAAAGCCUGACGGAGCAACGCCGCGUGAGUGAAGAAGGUCUUCGGAUCGUAAAACUCUGUUAUUAGGGAAGAACAAAUGUGUAAGUAACUAUGCACGUCUUGACGGUACCUAAUCAGAAAGCCACGGCUAACUACGUG